UGAGAAGAGGGGAGAGGACCAAAAGGUUCAGGGACUUGCUUUGGUGCCGACGACCAUUGGUUUGGGUGAGCUUGAACUCGUCGAGAAAGAAGAGUUGAAAACCUUGUGAAUACAAAUGAAAAGUAAACAAGAAAGGGGCUUUAAACAGUUGCUUCAAAUGUAAAAAAAAAUCUACUUUAUAAUACAGUGAAGGAGCUUGCUGCUAAGCUUAGUCACCUGAGACCAGUCCCUGGGACCCACAGAGUGGGAGUUAAAAAAAAAAAACAAACAAAAACAAAAACAAAACUACUCUCUGAGGCUGGAGAGAUGGCUCAGUGGUUAAGAGCACUGACUGCUCUUCUUGAGUUCAAAUCCCAGCAACCAUAUGGUGGUUCACAACUAUCUCUAAUGAGAUCUGACGCCCUCUUAUGAAGUGUCUGAAGGCAGCUACAGUGUACUUACAUAUAAUAAAUAAAUACAUCUUAAAAAAAAAAACUCUCUUGCAAGUUGUUCUCUGACCAUCUGAGGCAUACCAUGCACUUCACUCCAACACAAGUAAGUAAUAAAUUUAUUUAAAAAUAGAAAAAAAAAUCAGACAUCAUACAAACAUGUUUGUAUUUUGAUUAUCUUUUGGUGAUUAUCUUUUGGUAAUUGAUUAUCAUGCUACAGCAAACAAAACAAUGAGCUGUUAUUUUGCAUGAUUCCUUAGGUAGGAUGGAAUUAGCUUGGUGGCUUUUCUGUUCCAGGUGACUUUGGCUAUGUCACGGAUGCAGGUGGAUACAACAUAGUGGUCUCACUUCCAUGAGCUGUCCAUUUGUGGCUAAGAGUCCCUUGGUUCUUUAUGUGGUUUGUCAUUUUGCAAGACACGGUUCCACGUGGGCUCUAACUAGAUAGGAGACUAGUCUAGACUUCCUAACUCUGCUUUACAGCUGAGAGUACUUGGUGAUGCUUGUGCCUCUCAGUUAAAGAAAGCUUGAGGGCCUUGAUGGAGUUCAGUUGGGAGAGGAUCUGCCUAGCCCACGUGAAGCCUUGAGUUUAGUCUCCAGCACCAAACAGUGUCAAAAACCUGGUGUAUCAGAAGAUGUCUGUUGUCUCAGCUCUCACUUGGAAGGCAGAGGGAUCAAAAAAAAUCAUCCUCACCUACAUAGCGAGGUUGGAGCCGGCCUGGGCAAUCUGAGACUCUGUCUUGAAAAUAAAACAAAGAAAAGCUUGAGAAACUAAAAGACCCCAUUCCUAAUGAUUAAGCAGUUAGAACCAAGUGCAGUUUAUAGCAGUUUCAGAGAUUUGAGGGGUUUUGUUAAGUUGCAUACCUAACUGUCACAUACUUACAACGGGUUUUCUCAUCUACUCCCAUCAAAAACUUAUUUUUAACUUAUCCCCAGUGAGUAAUGAAAAGGAAGUUUACUCUAGCCAUACUUAAUGUUGCUCCAGAUGUUAGCAUCGGCUUCCAGGGCGUUUGCUGCAAAGGCAAUUCUGAACCCCCUCUAGUGGCAAAAAUUUUUUUCUUUUUCUUUCUUUUUUUUUUUUUUUCCCAAAGAGCUUGCUUUGAAUUAAUAAGAUGGCUGACUAACAUAUAACCUAACAUAGUUUCAAAACUAUUUCUAGCACAGUGCCCACUAUAUGUGCCUUAGAAGGUUCUUUGGACUCCUAGGACAAAUGCACAUCUUCUUAAGCAGCAUUCAAAAAAACCAACCAAACAAAC
rnacentral:lncRNA from 1 species